UUGUUACUCCCUCCGUCCGGAAUUACUUGUCAUAAAACGGAUAAAAAUGAACGUAUCUACAACUAAAAUACAUCUAGAUACAUUCAUUUCUUGGACGAGUAAUUCCGAACGGAGGGAGUACAUC
rfam:Triticum aestivum genome assembly, contig: Triticum_aestivum_CS42_TGACv1_scaffold_424913_5BS